UGGAGCCUACGGGAGGCAGCAGUGGGGAAUAUUGCACAAUGGGGGAAACCCUGAUGCAGCGACUCCGCGUGAGUGAAGAAGUAUUUCGGUAUGUAAAGCUCUAUCAGCAGGGAAGAAGUUGACGGUACCUGAGUAAGAAGCCCCGGCUAACUACGUGCCAGCAGCCGCGGUAAUACGUAGGGGGCAAGCGUUAUCCGGAUUUACUGGGUGUAAAGGGAGCGUAGACGGCAGUGCAAGUCUGAAGUGAAAGCCCCGGGCUUAACCCGGGAACUGCUUUGGAAACUGUACGGCUGGUGGGCUGGAGG
rnacentral:rRNA from 1 species